ACCUCAGACUUGGAGGGAUUUCCCAACCACAUGUUGAUGUAUGCCAGAAAACGCUAUUCCUUCGACCCCCCUGCUUAUGAAGCAAGAACCUUGUUGGCUGCGUUGGUCUACAACUUCCACAACCAUCGCCCAGCAAUGCUCAACAAAAAGGGCCAGAAGAUCUACAGAAGGCUAUGGAAUAAGAAGGCUCAGAGGUGGAGUGCAUACUCCUUGAAAUCGAAAAAAGGAAUACGGCUACAUCCCUGACCUACAACGAGCCAUUGUAGGAGUAUGACUGUGUUCUGACAUGGGACUUCCACAGAGGAGGAAGAAGAGGCCUGAUGAUCCAAGAAGGCUUGGACUUCUUCCCCCUAUUCCACCACCUUCAGUAGAGGAGCUGGUCCAGACACAGAUUCAAAGAGGACAGAUCAUGGAAUGAAGAGUGGAUUUCACUCCAUUGAUGAACAACACCCUACCCUAGGGCUGGAUAUGGUCAAGGACCUCACGAUUCGAUUUCGGAGGACACAGGCCAAGUGAACACUUUACUACUUGUGUUUGUGUGUAAAUAUAUUUCCACAAAAAGUUGUUUUUAAAUCAAUAUCCCCUUAAUUACUUGUGUUUGUGUGUAAAUAUACUGUAUAUACUGUAUAUUUCUACAGAAAGUUGUUUGUAUUUCAAUAUCAUUUCUUUUUCCAUCUUAAAAUAAAUGUAAA